GAUAAGUUGCGUGAAGGAUAGAAGUGAAAAGCCCACAGCCUGACGAAGGAAGUGCGAGGACUUGUAACGGAUAGCCUGACCCUUU
rnacentral:ncRNA from 2 species